rnacentral:rRNA from 1 species
UACGAAGGGGGCUAGCGUUGCUCGGAAUCACUGGGCGUAAAGCGCACGUAGGCGGACUCUUAAGUCGGUGGUGAAAUCCUGGAGCUCAACUCCAGAACUGCCUUUGAUACUGAAGAUCUUGAGUUCGGGAGAGGUGAGUGGAACUGCGAGUGUAGAGGUGAAAUUCGUAGAUAUUCGCAAGAACCCCAAUUGCGAAGGCAGCUGGCUAAGCCGUCACUGGACGCUGAGGCACGAAAGCGUGGGGAGCGAACAGG